CGGGUGUAGCUCAAUGGCAGAGUUCCUGCUUCCCAAGCAGGCUACGCGGGUUCGAUUCCCGUCACCC
rnacentral:tRNA from 1 species